rnacentral:rRNA from 1 species
UACGUAGGAGGCGAGCGUUGUCCGGAGUUACUGGGCGUAAAGGGUGCGCAGGCGGCCAUUGAAGUUUGCGGUGAAAUCUCCCGGCUUACCUGGGAGGGGGCCGUGAAGACUGGAUGGCUUGAGGCUCGGGGAGGGGCGUGGAAUUUCCGGUGUAGCGGUGAAAUGCGUAGAUAUCGGAAGGAACACCAGUGGCGAAGGCGGCUACCUGGACUGACACUGACGCUGGGGCGCGAGAGCGUGGGGAGCAAACAGG